UACGGAGGGUGCAAGCGUUAUCCGGAUUCACUGGGUUUAAAGGGUGCGUAGGCGGGCAGGUAAGUCAGUGGUGAAAUCCUAGAGCUUAACUCUAGAACUGCCAUUGAUACUAUCUGUCUUGAAUAUUGUGGAGGUAAGCGGAAUAUGUCAUGUAGCGGUGAAAUGCAUAGAUCUGACAUAGAACACCAAUUGCGAAGGCAGCUCACUAAGCAAACAUUGACGCUGAGGCACGAAAGCGUGGGGAUCAAACAGG
rnacentral:rRNA from 1 species